rnacentral:tRNA from 1 species
ACCUUCGGUGCUCUCUUUGGAAAGUUUUGGUUCUAUGGUCCAGUGGAAAGGAUAUUCCCCUGUCACGGGAAAGGC